GCAAUUACAGUUCAAAUGUCUCCCAAGCAUUUUUGGAGCAACAAAAGCAGAAAUAUUUCUUCAAUAAUUCAUGUUUGGAAGCCAGUAUGUUAAACACGUGAGCCUAGCUACUAGUGGGUACAUCUCCAUGUGUUCCCACAUCCAGGCCCACAGCCUUUGGCAUCUAGAAUCCUUGAGGCUUUUGAGAACAAGAUUUAGAAAUGAGUCAGAAUCUCUCAUAUCACUAAUUAGAAAACUGAGGGCCAUGUCAGUAUGUUUUCAGUGGAAUCCUGGAAUCCUCUGCUGUGAUCUGACCACUAAUUUUUAGAUGUGUGGGGAGGACAGUUUCUUAUAUGCUUUGACCUUUGAAAAGUCUUAACUUUAUCUGGAAAGGAUAUCCUCUGAUGAAGGGGAUGUCUUCUCUGAGGGGUACACAUGCAACGGGAAGGCAAAAGAUAAUAUUCACUAGCAUUGGCUAUUAUAAAAGGAAGAAAAAAAAUUAUUUUUGGUGUUCAAGAAUUUCUGAAAAGUAGAUAUAAAAUAUCUAGCCCAGUGCCUUGAACCUAAUAGAUAUUACUGGAUACUAAUUAUUAUUAAAUUAGGCAUAUGACGAUUUUGCAACUUUCUGAUGUAAAUGGCAGAAGAACCAGUGAAACCUUAAAUUGUAAUAAUAGACAUUAAACAAUGGCACCAAAAACAUGGUACAUAACCAGAAGCCCAUACUGUCUCAUGAUCCUCUCAUCCUUCCAACUAAUAGACACAGACAUUGGAUGUCUUUUUUUUUUUUUUUAAAGAAAACUGAGACUAAAAGGUUAUUUUCUCCAACUUCCCAAAGGUCAGAUAGUUGAUAGUGGUAGCCUGGACUCAAGCCCACGUGUCUGCUUUGAAAUCCAGUACUCUUUACAAUCACCGUGUUGUUGUGUAGUCACUAAGUCAUGUCUGACUCUUUCUGGACUCCAGGGACUGUAGCCCGCCAGGUUCCUCUGUCGGUUUCCUCUUCCAGGAGAUCGUCUUGACCCAGGGGUCCAACCCGGUCUCCUGUGCGUCUCCUGCAUUGCAGGCAGAUUCCAUACAGCUGAAACACCAAGAACGACACUUAGUGGGGUGUGGUAAAAACUCACCGACCACUGCAUUUGAAAGAGGUCUUUGGCAAACUCAACCUUACCCAGAAGAAAACUGAAGAUGGUGAGAGGAUUCAAGCCCUGUUCUCUGACAGUUGUUUUAGACCAGAGAAUUGCUACUCCAUGUGUAACCUUGAAACCAUCCAAGAGCUGUUUAGAGAUGUAGACCCUCAGGCUUUCUGAAGCAGCAUCUGAUUGUAAUAAGAUUUCGAGUGCUUUUGUAUAAACACUACACUUGAAAAGCACUGAUUUAUUGAAAGUUUGAUGAGGCUUUCAGGGAGAUCCAAGAGCAAGAAAGAGAGCUUAUGUCUUAUUAUUCUAAAGGCCAAAGAUAGGACCCC
ensembl:lncRNA